AGCUCCAAUAGCGUAUAUUAAAGUUGUUGCAGUUAAAAAGCUCGUAGUUGAAUUUCUGUCAGGAGCGACCGGGCCUUUGGAUGAACUUCCAUUGUUUUUUGCUCUGUUUGUCGUCUCUAGACAUCCUGAAAUAUUUUUUUUUAAAUAUUUCUCUUUUACUGUUAGCAAAAUAGAGUGUUCCAAGCAAAGCGUAGUUUUGAAUACAUUAGAAUGGAAUAAUAAGAUAGGACUUUGGUGCUAUUUUGUUGGUUUGCACACCAAGGUAAUGAUUAAUAGGGACAGUUGGGGGUAUUCGUAUUUAAUUGUCAGAGGUGAAAUUCUUGGAUUUAUGAAAGACGAACUACUGCGAAAGCAUUUACCAAGGAUGUUU
rnacentral:rRNA from 1 species